UAACCUGCCCUUGACUUUGGGAUAACUUCAGGAAACUGGGGCUAAUACCGGAUAGGAGCUCCUGCUGCAUGGUGGGGGUUGGAAAGUUUCGGCGGUUGGGGAUGGACUCGCGGCUUAUCAGCUUGUUGGUGGGGUAGUGGCUUACCAAGGCUUUGACGGGUAGCCGGCCUGAGAGGGUGACCGGCCACAUUGGGACUGAGAUACGGCCCAGACUCCUACGGGAGGCAGCAGUGGGGAAUAUUGCACAAUGGGCGGAAGCCUGAUGCAGCAACGCCGCGUGCGGGAUGACGGCCUUCGGGUUGUAAACCGCUUUCGCCUGUGACGAAGCGUGAGUGACGGUAAUGGGUAAAGAAGCACCGGCUAACUACGUGCCAGCAGCCGCGGUGAUACGUAGGGUGCGAGCGUUGUCCGGAUUUAUUGGGCGUAAAGGGCUCGUAGGUGGUUGAUCGCGUCGGAAGUGUAAUCUUGGGGCUUAACCCUGAGCGUGCUUUCGAUACGGGUUGACUUGAGGAAGGUAGGGGAGAAUGGAAUUCCUGGUGGAGCGGUGGAAUGCGCAGAUAUCAGGAGGAACACCAGUGGCGAAGGCGGUUCUCUGGGCCUUUCCUGACGCUGAGGAGCGAAAGCGUGGGGAGCGAACAGGCUUAGAUACCCUGGUAGUCCACGCUGUAAACGGUGGGUACUAGGUGUGGGG
rnacentral:rRNA from 1 species